AUGGCCAUCUAUGGGAAUAAUCAGGUUUCUUUUGCGAGAGCAAGAGAGAACAGCUGGCGACAUGGUACGGCUCUUAGUGAGAUGGGGAAGGAUUCAUACGCUGAUUGUGUCUACCACAAUGGCAGAUUCUACACGGUGACAAUGUGUGGGGUGGUCGAGACAUGGGAUCUCAAUAAAGAGCCAGCACAUGAACCAAACAAACAGGUGAUCAUUGCUGGCGGGGAUGGAAGAUACAGGAGGAUUCUUACCCGGUUCCUGGUGUCUACUCCCUGGGGUUGUCUCCUGCAGAUCCGAACUCAACGGCGCAAUGAUCAUCCUAGGAAGGUCAUGGUUGAGGUGUUUGAAGUCAAUGUCGAGGAGCACAAACUUGUCAGACUGAGUUCUGCCACAGCCUUCCAGGAGCACGCAGUGUUUGUUGGGUUGAAUGAAUCCGUAUGUUUGCAUACCAAAGAUUACAAGGAGCUAAGACCCAACCAUGUCUAUUUUGCCACACCUUGGUUGACACAGGAAGCAAAUUUUGGUCUCAGGGGCUGGAAAGGUGUAGUGAUUUAUGACCUGGAAAAUCAGACGUUUGAGGAAGUUCUUCCUGCAUCUAAAUAUUCUGCAUUUUGUCCCCAGCAAGUUUGGUUCAUUCCAAAUAUCUGA
rnacentral:rRNA from 1 species